CCUACGGGAGGCAGCAGUGGGGAAUUUUGGACAAUGGGCGAAAGCCUGAUCCAGCAAUGCCGCGUGAGUGAAGAAGGCCUUCGGGUUGUAAAGCUCUUUUGUCAGGGAAGAAACGGUGAGAGCUAAUAUCUCUUGCUAAUGACGGUACCUGAAGAAUAAGCACCGGCUAACUACGUGCCAGCAGCCGCGGUAAUACGUAGGGUGCAAGCGUUAAUCGGAAUUACUGGGCGUAAAGCGUGCGCAGGCGGUUUUGUAAGUCUGAUGUGAAAUCCCCGGGCUCAACCUGGGAAUUGCAUUGGAGACUGCAAGGCUAGAAUCUGGCAGAGGGGGGUAGAAUUCCACGUGUAGCAGUGAAAUGCGUAGAUAUGUGGAGGAACACCGAUGGCGAAGGCAGCCCCCUGGGUCAAGAUUGACGCUCAUGCACGAAAGCGUGGGGAGCAAACAGGAUUAGAUACCCUGGUAGUCCACGCCCUAAACGAUGUCUACUAGUUGUCGGGUCUUAAUUGACUUGGUAACGCAGCUAACGCGUGAAGUAGACCGCCUGGGGAGUACGGUCGCAAAGAUUAAAAACUCAAAAGGAAUUGACGG
rnacentral:rRNA from 1 species